rnacentral:rRNA from 1 species
UAGGGAAUCUUCGGCAAUGGGGGCAACCCUGACCGAGCAACGCCGCGUGAGUGAAGAAGGUUUUCGGAUCGUAAAGCUCUGUUGUAAGUCAAGAACGGGUGUGAGAGUGGAAAGUUCACACUGUGACGGUAGCUUACCAGAAAGGGACGGCUAACUACGUGCCAGCAGCCGCGGUAAUACGUAGGUCCCGAGCGUUGUCCGGAUUUAUUGGGCGUAAAGCGAGCGCAGGCGGUUUGAUAAGUCUGAAGUUAAAGGCUGUGGCUCAACCAUAGUUCGCUUUGGAAACUGUCAAACUUGAGUGCAGAAGGGGAGAGUGGAAUUCCAUGCGUAGCGGUGAAAUGCGUAGAUAUAUGGAGGAACACCGGUGGCGAAAGCGGCUCUCUGGUCUGUAACUGACGCUGAGGCUCGAAAGCGUGGGGAGCGAACAGGAUUAGAUACCCUGGUAGUCCACGCCGUAAACGAUGAGUGCUAGGUGUUGGAUCCUUUCCGGGAUUCAGUGCCGCAGCUAACGCAUUAAGCACUCCGCCUGGGGAGUACGACCGCAAGGUUGAAACUCUAAAGUGAAUUGAC